rnacentral:lncRNA from 1 species
CUCUCAGAGUCUCAGCAAGGUCACUCUUUUCCAUAUGUAAUAAUGAGCCAUUGUUCUAUUCAUCAUGACCUCAUAGAGCCUUUUCUUUUUCUCAGGUCUCAUUUACUUCCUCUUUUUUUUUUCCUUUUCCUUUUCCUAUACCUUCCUUUGGUCCUUAUAAGUAUCCAAAUUGCCCUAAAAUAACUUCUGCACAUGCAGCAUUAGGAAGCAGUGUUUCCCAACCACUACAUUUGAAUGAUUCAUUCCUCUGAGGACCCUCAAGUACUUCAGAAGAACUAAAAAAUGAAUAUCACGUUACACCAAAGAAGAAAUGAAAGCUGCCAGUGUCUUCUGAAGUUAAACAGGCUCCUGUUCUUUGACCCAGCAAUCCAAUCCUAGGUAUUUAAUUGUUCCCUGAGGUUUAAGGCAGUGGACUGAGGAUAAUACAGGCUCCAGCUUUCAUUAGUUCAAUGGAUGAUGCUGUUCAAUCCAUACUGUUUGGGGCAUUUGUUGAAAAUGUCAUUCAGAAGAUAUCAACACUUUCUGAGUCAUGGUUUGAUUGAAUUUAUAGAAUUAUGUGAUAGAAACCACAUUCUUCACAAAAGUCACAAGGCAAUAAUGACGACAAGGGUUGAAGAUGAAAGAUGCCAAAUAUUCUGAUCAAUUCAAUAAGGCAAAAAGACAAGUUAAUUCACUCAGUGCUCCAGGCAUCAACUUCAUAGAAGGAAUGGAAAUUCUACCUGUUUCCUAAAGAACUACAGAGGACUCCAACUAAGCCACUAUGCUGGGAGCAGAGAUGGGGAAGAAUUGCUGAGUCAUGAUAAGAGAAGGCACUAUAGGAAGAAACAGUGAACUCUUAACAGCUGGGCAAGCAAUGAGUCAGCCUGGGUGGUCACUCCAGAUGCUCCCGGACACAUCCCAAUUUCUAGGAUGCCUUGCUAAUCUGGGAGGGCUUUCCACACGCCCACCUGAAGACCAUGUGUGACCACGCCCCCAGAGGAGCAUGCCUUCUCCCACUCCCCAAUCCCAUUGCUUAUGACUUCAUUCACAUUUAGAGCGUGGACAGUGAAUCCCCAAUGUCAUUUACACAGUGUUGUUCUUGUCAUGGUCUAAACCAGCUUACCCCACUGCCACAUUUAUCCAUCAGCCUAUGGGAAAAGGGAAAAAGGAUGUGGAAGUGAAGUGAUCUUUAAAAGCCAAGGAAAGGAAGACAGGAAAAAUGAAGAUAAAUCCCAAAAGAUCAAUAUUUACUUUUAGUCUGCAUUUAAGUGUGCAUCGUUGAGAGAAUCCACGGCAACUUUUAUUAAAGAUAGAAGUUGUACUUGCCAACACAUCAACAAUUUAUGUUUAGAAACAAGAUACUCAAUCUCAAGUUAUCUUCCCUCUGAAAAUCAGAGAUCACUUCCAAUUCUCCUUAAGCUCUUAUGCAAGUUCUUCCAGCUGGAUCUAGAAACCAAAUUGACACCAGGCAGAUUAACAAGAGAAAACAUACAAAUCUUAUUCAUUUUACAUGUACGUGGGGAUCUUCACAAGAAAGAAAAUUAAAAAGUGGCCAAAGCAAGAUGCUUUUAUGCUUUUUAGACAAAGAAUGAUAAAUUUGAGAAGAAAUGUCAAGACAAAGAAAAUCUGGCUAGGAGUAGUACAUUUCUAGGGGAGUCAGUAGGAGAUAUAUUGGGGGACAUGUAAAACUAGUGAAAGAUAAGAGUUACUUCAUUAAGCAUAUUUAUCCAGAUCCAUUACAGUUCUCAAUUCCCAGUGUCUCAUGAUAAGGGCCAUCUUCUCACCCUGGUACAGAGAGAGUACCCCUCCCAGAGGAACGUUUAUGGCUUGCUGCAUGCAGGAAGAGACAGGUCAGCUAGCCUUUUCUAAACUACAAUUUCUCCAAUGUUUUCAACUCAAAAUAAUCAAUACACCAAUUCAGCAUGUUGUGGGAUGGCACAUCCUUCCCUCCUUUAAUAUCUAAGUUAAUAUUGAUGAUUUUGUAUAUUAAGAAGGUCCCAAAAUCGAAUGAGCUAUGGGCACCACAAAGCCAAGAUCUGCUCCUUAGGAGGGGUGUACUGGUACUGAAGAAGCAAGGAAACUCAAAAAUUGUGCUGCGAUCAAAACAUCAGAAGGAGAAUCUGAAGUGUCAGCCCACUGGAAGAAGCAAAAGCAUUUAGGGAAGUAGUUGCAUGGGGUCUGGGAUUCUGGGGUCCAGUUACAAGCAAACAAAGUGGGAAGAAUUCAAAGAAUUGCCUGAGUAAUUGCGGCUAAUGGACAAGGCAGGGUGUCAGGGACCCGACCAAGAGAGCUGGAGUUGGUUUUGUGGCUGCAGUCCAAGCAGAGGAAACCAGAAGAUGAGCGCCACUGCACAGACUAGGCAGAUGGUGGGAGAGGGGAAGAGAAAGCCACUAACAGUCACCGUCAUCGACCCCGAGACGUUGUACUUCAGUAGUGGGGUUGGGUGCCUUACACUUUUAGGCUGCAUCAGGGAUUCCUCAAAGAGGAUACAGUGCUAAACCUGCAGUUAUCAGGACAGGCAGCAGAAUCUUGCCCAUAAAGAGGGAAUAAGAAUGCAUACCUAUCUUAUAACAGUGUUGAGAUGAUUCAGUCAAUGGUGUAGAUAAAAUGUGUAGCCUGGUACUUUAUGCAAUCAUGGAGAACAACUCAAGCUCUCUGGAAUAUGAUCCUACCUUGAAUAUAGUAAGAAGAAAAGGAGUUUAAAUUCUCCUGGUAGGAGGGAUGCAAAUUCAUUCAAACGAAAUAAGGCAGUAGGAAGGAACAACUAAUUUGGCUUUUAGAAGUAAAUCAUCAAUGCAAUGCAAAGAUGCUGUUUAUGUGCUUGGCUUAUUGAUUUAAUAAGUUCCUUGGUAAACUUUUUUUCUGCUCAGUUAGCAGUUGGUUAGUUUUCCUUUGUAGUAAUAGUAAUAGUUUAAAUGUUCCUUGCAGUAAUGACUGUCAUUGCUAUAUUUUAUUUUCUAAGUUGAUUUUGUACUCUAAUAUCACUCUGCUAUGUUUUCCUGUGUUGUAGGAAAUUAUUUUUA